GUGUCACAUGAAAGGAGAGAAGGUUAGCAUUCCCCUGGCCAACCCUAGAAGAGGCUCUUGAGCCUAUCUUGGGUCUUGAAUAUUGUAUAGCUUAAGAAAAAACAUUUAACUUCUCUGAGCCUUAAUUUUUU
ensembl:snRNA